GAUGAAGAACGUAGCGAAAUGCGAUACGUAAUGUGAAUUGCAGAAUUCAGUGAAUCAUCGAAUGUUUGAACGCAUAUUGCGCUCUCUGGUAUUCCGGAGAGCAUGCUUGUUUGAGUAUCAGUAAACACCUCAACUGCCUUUCUUCUUGAAAUGGAGCUGGACUUGAGUGAUCCCAACGCUUUAUUCAUAAAGUGGCGGGUUACUUGAAAUGCAGGUGCAGCUGGACUUUUCUCUGAGCUAUAAGCAUAUCUAUUUAGUCUGCCUCAAAACAGAUUAUUACCUUUGCUGCAGCUAACAUAAAGGAGAUUAGUUCUUCUGCUGACUGAUGCAGGAUUCACAAAGACCGCUUCGGCUGUCUUUGUAAACUCGAUCUCAAAUCAAGUAAGACUACCCGCUGAACUUAAGCAUAUCAAUAAGCGGAGGA
rnacentral:misc_RNA from 1 species